rnacentral:lncRNA from 1 species
UCCGCUCAUUCAGCCUACAAGCCAAACUUUAUUGCUAAAAUAUUUCCUUAUCAAAAUGUAACAAAAUUCAUAUAAUUAUGUCAUAAUUAAUUACGUAAUAACAGAAAAGAUUCACUUCUUAAUAAUAAAACACUAAUAUAAAAGAAUGAAAACAUAACUAAAAAUAAGAGUAACAAAAAAUAAGAAUACUUGAAGCCAGACCCGAAGAAAACUCCUGAAGGGAUCCGAUUUUGAACUCCUAAAAAGAAUUCUGAAGCUGAACUUCUGACUCCAAAGACAUCACCGAACUCCAGAACCCGAAGACAUCACCAAACUCCCAACCCCGAAGACAUCAAUGUCUACCAUCCUUGCACCGAGCCACUAAUUAACUCAUGGUAUUUCAAUGUCGUACAUCUCUGCAUCAUCAAACUCAGAUCCUCCUGCAUCACAUAGAGGACCAUGAAACUUCAUGUGAUGAAUUUUGAUCCGUGAUUUUCGAUUCAACAGCGUCGUUGUGGCAGUCAUCAUCUCUGAGAUUAUUACUGUGCACCGACUGUGAGAAUUUGAAAUCCUUCAAGGAUUUGGAGAGUGUAAAAGAGAAAGAGCGACUACUGAUUUAUCGUGAGAGAAACAAUUUUCUCUGUGACACCUCUCUAUUAUUUUCGCCAAAAUUAUAGAGAGAAAGAGUGAAAAGCAAUGAGAAGAAAGAAGAGAAAGCCUAAGCACUAAAAAUAUAGAGAUUUGAAUGCUCACGAGGCCAUAAAUUUAGUAAAUACCUCUCUCUAGUUCACUGAGAAUAGAGAUUUAGACAUAAACUUAACAGGAAAUUUAGGAUUCAACGAGAGAGAGGUAGAGGGGCUGCGGAGAGAGCACUCAUCCAUGGUCAGGUGAUGGUAAGGAUGAGGAGACAAUGUUGAUGAGACAAGAGAGGGUUAAAUGAGAUGAAUAGAAUUAGAUAGAUAUAGUGUCUUAGCUAAUUAUUUGUAAAUAAUUAUUAUACUCAAUACUUACGGCUACACAAACACCUCAUGUGUAAAUGUUACCCUGUACCUACAUUCAUUAAGAGACCCUAGCUAUAUACCAGCAGUUCACCUCUUUACCUACGGUCGACGCAGAACCGUCGCUAUAUGUCUCCAUAGCUACGUUUCCGCACCGACCGUCGGUAUAACUCGUCGCUUUAGCCCCA